AAAUUGAAGAGUUUGAUCAUGGCUCAGAUUGAACGCUGGCGGCAGGCCUAACACAUGCAAGUCGAACGGUAACAGGAAACAGCUUGCUGUUUCGCUGACGAGUGGCGGACGGGUGAGUAAUGUCUGGGAAACUGCCUGAUGGAGGGGGAUAACUACUGGAAACGGUAGCUAAUACCGCAUAACGUCGCAAGACCAAAGAGGGGGACCUUCGGGCCUCUUGCCAUCAGAUGUGCCCAGAUGGGAUUAGCUAGUAGGUGGGGUAACGGCUCACCUAGGCGACGAUCUCUAGCUGGUCUGAGAGGAUGACCAGCCACACUGGAACUGAGACACGGUCCAGACUCCUACGGGAGGCAGCAGUGGGGAAUAUUGCACAAUGGGCGCAAGCCUGAUGCAGCCAUGCCGCGUGUAUGAAGAAGGCCUUCGGGUUGUAAAGUACUUUCAGCGGGGAGGAAGGGAGUAAAGUUAAUACCUUUGCUCAUUGACGUUACCCGCAGAAGAAGCACCGGCUAACUCCGUGCCAGCAGCCGCGGUAAUACGGAGGGUGCAAGCGUUAAUCGGAAUUACUGGGCGUAAAGCGCACGCAGGCGGUUUGUUAAGUCAGAUGUGAAAUCCCCGGGCUCAACCUGGGAACUGCAUCUGAUACUGGCAAGCUUGAGUCUCGUAGAGGGGGGUAGAAUUCCAGGUGUAGCGGUGAAAUGCGUAGAGAUCUGGAGGAAUACCGGUGGCGAAGGCGGCCCCCUGGACGAAGACUGACGCUCAGGUGCGAAAGCGUGGGGAGCAAACAGGAUUAGAUACCCUGGUAGUCCACGCCGUAAACGAUGUCGACUUGGAGGUUGUGCCCUUGAGGCGUGGCUUCCGGAGCUAACGCGUUAAGUCGACCGCCUGGGGAGUACGGCCGCAAGGUUAAAACUCAAAUGAAUUGACGGGGGCCCGCACAAGCGGUGGAGCAUGUGGUUUAAUUCGAUGCAACGCGAAGAACCUUACCUGGUCUUGACAUCCACGGAAGUUUUCAGAGAUGAGAAUGUGCCUUCGGGAACCGUGAGACAGGUGCUGCAUGGCUGUCGUCAGCUCGUGUUGUGAAAUGUUGGGUUAAGUCCCGCAACGAGCGCAACCCUUAUCCUUUGUUGCCAGCGGUCCGGCCGGGAACUCAAAGGAGACUGCCAGUGAUAAACUGGAGGAAGGUGGGGAUGACGUCAAGUCAUCAUGGCCCUUACGACCAGGGCUACACACGUGCUACAAUGGCGCAUACAAAGAGAAGCGACCUCGCGAGAGCAAGCGGACCUCAUAAAGUGCGUCGUAGUCCGGAUUGGAGUCUGCAACUCGACUCCAUGAAGUCGGAAUCGCUAGUAAUCGUGGAUCAGAAUGCCACGGUGAAUACGUUCCCGGGCCUUGUACACACCGCCCGUCACACCAUGGGAGUGGGUUGCAAAAGAAGUAGGUAGCUUAACCUUCGGGAGGGCGCUUACCACUUUGUGAUUCAUGACUGGGGUGAAGUCGUAACAAGGUAACCGUAGGGGAACCUGCGGUUGGAUCACCUCCUUACCUUAAAGAAGC
rnacentral:rRNA from 1 species